UUCUGACGUCUUGGUACUCCACUUUGACGCGGUAGAGUACUGACUCAAAUUUUCUGGUAAAGUCCUGGAGUACCUCCCACGGAGGAUUAAAACACAAUUUCUUAUAGUUGUUGCCAUGCGUAGGGGUAGUGACGUGAUAAUUUGUUUGUGGGAGGGUGUUUUUGCAUUAGGUAUCCAUUUCAUCCCAAAUCGUUUUCAUUAUGUCGAUGAACCCUAGGCGUCCUGGCGGUGCAGGGGGAAGAGGAGGACGAGCCGACCGGACGGGGGGACGAGGCGCCGCCCGGCCUUGGUGUGCAUCCCCCGGCGGAUGCGCACAUCUGGAGCCGAUUGAGGAGGGGGACGAGCUGACGUGCGGGAGUGGCGUCCACCCCCGGCGGAUGAGCACAGGAGGUGCCGACCGGAUAGGGAGUGGCGUCGCCGAUUGAGGAGGGGGACGAGGAGACGCGCGGCAGUGGCGUCCACCCUCUCUGGCGCCUCCUCGCCCUUCUCCCUGACCUCUCCGCCAACUGAAGAAGGCGACCUACGGCGGCGCUCCGUCUCGGCGGCUGUAGUUUAUCAAUUCGGGAGGACCUUCUCAACAAAUAUGCUGAAGAGACGCUAAACUACUGCACUGUGGCUUCCAACAGUACUCUGCAUGAUGCAUUGGAUUUAACAGCGAUCCUUGUGAAGGAGAAGGAACAACAAAUUUUACAACUGGAGAACAAACUUGAUUUUGCAUGCUCACAACUGCACCAUUACAAGGAGAAGAACAAAGCUCAUAACAGAGCACAUGCCAAAAUACUUGAAGACGAGAUAUGCAAAUCUAGGAAAUAUUGUACACUUUUCUGGUUAAUGUUUAUAUUGUACGUAGCUAGAAUAAUGAUGCCCACCAUGUAGAGCAACCAUCAUCGAUGGAUUAUCUUAAGGUGAAAUCUUGUCAUGCCAGGACCAAAAGAUCAGGACUUUGUUACUGAGAAUAAUGUAAACAGCAUAUGGAGAAUAAAAUAUUCAAGGAAAUAUUGUA